AUGGGCGAGUUCGACGAUUACUGGGCGCGGGCGUACAGGGGCGACCCCGCGGUGCCGCACUCGGACCCGCAGCGGCUCAUCUCCACCUGGACCGGCGCCUUCGCCCUCGGCGCCGCCGCCUGCGUCCACCACCACGUCUCCGGCCUCGCCUCCAACAUCAAGUCCCUUCCCCACAGCUGGCAAGACAUGACAAUGAUGCUCGAUCAGAAGCGCUGGAAGAAAAUUCUCGACAAGAAGCAGCAACAAGCUUAA
rnacentral:rRNA from 1 species